UAGUCCACGCCGUAAACGAUGUGCACUAGGUCGAGGAGGUUCUGACACCAUUCUUGGCCGAAGCGAAAGUGUUAAGUGCACCGCCUGGGGAGUACGGUCGCAAGGCUAAAACUCAAAGGAAUUGACGGGGGCUCACACAAGCGGUGGAGCAUGUGGCUUAAUUCGAAGCAACGCGAAGAACCUUAUCCUGGGUUUGACAUGCAUGGAUUAACUCCCUGAAAGGGGAGCCACGCCUUCGGGUGGAACAUGCACAGGUGCUGCAUGGCUGUCGUCAGCUCGUGCUGUGAAGUGUCGGGUUAAGUCCCUUAACGAGCGAAACCCCUGUCGUUAGUUGCUAACACGUAAUGGUGAGGACUCUAGCGAGACUGCCGGCGUCAAGUCGGAGGAAGGUGGGGAUGACGUCAAGUCCGCAUGGCCUUUAUGCCCAGGGCUGCACACGUGCUACAAUGGCGGGUACAAAGCGACGCGAGACCGCAAGGUGGAGCAAAUCGCAAAAAGCUCG
rnacentral:rRNA from 1 species